rnacentral:lncRNA from 1 species
CCAAACAUGAACCCUCUUAUUAUAAAACGCGGUAUCAAAUAAGUAUCGGCUUUUGUACUACCUUUAAUCCACCUUUAAGUACGACCUUGAAAAAACGUUAUUACAAAACGCAGUUUAUCGCAAGUCCUAUUACUAUCUGUAGUACAAAAGAUAAACCAUCGAGCCCCCUAGUUUAACUGCAGUACUUAGUCGACAAACGUCAAAUUCCGACAUUAUUUGCUUUUGAGGUUAUUUGUUUUGUGAUGAAAAAAACGAAAGUGGAUAUAAAUAUGUGUGAUUUGGAAUACUUGGAUGUGUUAGAAUACUAUUGAGAGUGUCCGGGGACCCAACAGAAUGCGUCAUCGACAAAAUCUCUUCAAAUUACCUGACGACAAUUUUCGAUAUAAAUAUCGAUUUACGUUUUUCGAAAUAAUAGUCAAUUGAAUGCAUGAUGAUAAUCCAGGAUGAUCCUAUGAUGCUCAACUGGGCUCGCCAUAAAAUUCAAGACUAUUUUGGCGUUUUGCACGCCGUAUCUCUGCCAGUAAUAUGCAAUGUUUGUAAAAGACUGGAAGCUUGCUAAAAUGUACAAAAAUGCCUAGAUGAGAAAGGGAACAAGAUUGUGUGAUGAAGAACAGUGUCCAACAUGUAUCAGUGCAUUUGACUGUAUAAAUAGACAUCGGAAUAAAAUAUAAUUUUCUACUUU